CCCGCCCCCUUUUUGCGCACCUGCCCCGCUCCGUCCCCUGUGGUCACGUCUGCCGUGGCGUGGUGUGAAACUCAGAGGAUGGCUGAGGGUAAAGGCUUCAGACCGGGGAGAGCAGAUUCAGCGACGGUCUCAGAUACAACACUCUUCCCAAGCAUUUGAGAGUGAGUUGGAGACGUUGCCUUUGCCACUAAAUACAUCAGUGUUCGGGCCGCCCUCUCGUAGAACCGCCAAACUGUGACGCGACAUCGCACCGGGAAACCCGACCCCGGUGCCACACUCCGAGCUGACCCGCCCUCCCCCGUCUCGCUCUCAUCUUUCCUGCUUCCUCUGUCGACGUAAGAAAGGUCCAAACCUUUGAAGGAUUUUUAGGAGUCUGUUUGAACCAAACUGAUGACAAUGGCCGACAAGCGAAAUCUCAAUGGAUUGAGAAAUUGCUCCGGAGAAUGGCGGGUUCGCAGCUUCUUUUAUACGUUAGAAUCAAAGGAGGGGCCCGCACGAGGGUUCCAUGAGGUCCUUGGGUGCUGGCUUAGGGGCCGCGGGAAAGCGAGGUGGGAAGUGUCUGGGAUUGGAUAAGAGUAGACGAGGGACACACUUCUUCUGCACAGGUCAGCACAUGACAGAGAGUAAUUAACAUUUGCAGCACAGAGAGACUGGAAUGCGGGCAAUGAGGUCACGGCGGAGGGUCUGUGCUCUGCGCCCCGCUGCCAGGGGCUGUGCCUUCAGGGCUCCGGAAAAGCAGGUCACUCAGACAUUCCAACGUCAUCUUGGACACACAAAGACAGCCGACAGGCUCCCGUGACGUGAAGACUGACCUUUGUUGAGGGAGCCACAGGCAUAAGAUGUGACUACGUCCACGACCCGCUUUUGGUUAGGGACUUCCUGCUCGGCCCGUCCUGUGUGGCCGCUUUGGUCUCAGGUUUGCAGGGCCCACCAUGCAGGCCCCCCAGACAUGUCAGGGGGAGCUCGUGCCCUUUUUCGUCCACGCUUUUGACCUGUUCCCAUGACCCCGUGCACACCCUCACUUCUGCCUCACCGAACCGAGGCCUCCCCUGAGGCCAGAGCAUCCCCUGCCCCAGCCCUUCAGAGAGGAGUGGGCUUUAGAAACCAAGGUCUGGAGCUGAGUGUGCUCGCAGCUGCUGGGGCGCCUCUGCUUCCGAGGCCGUCCCAGAGCACAGAGCUGGCACCCUGAGUUCACCCGGCUCGCUCUCACUCCGAGCCGCCCCUCGGUUUCUUCCUCCUCUUCCCGCAUCCAGCGUUUGUAUUUGGUUGAUUCGUAUGAAAUUGCCAACAUUCUACAAAAAAUGGCCAUGCCACACGGUUCGGCUGAACACCCCCUUCUCCAUAGUGAGAACCCUCGCUCUUAGUACAUGAAGAUAUUUUUUUGCUCUAUUCCAAAAUACUCUCCAAGUAGCUUCGGAAUUCCUCCAGCCAUCCUGCUACCAACCACAGACCCACUAAGGAAAUUUCAAGAUCCAUUUGUAGUUAUUUCUGUCCUCAGAUUAUAUCCCACUAAAGAAGUACAGAGUGUUGUGUUCGAAAGUCCUUCGCGUGAAUUCUGGUUGGUGUUUUCCGCUGCGUGGUCACGCUGAUUUCACACACAGUUCGGCUCAUGUAUUUCUAAACAGUUGAUGAACAUCGAUACAUUACUGCA